rnacentral:rRNA from 1 species
GUAGGUGGCAAGCGUUGUCCGGAAUUAUUGGGCGUAAAGCGCGCGCAGGCGGUUCUUUAAGUCUGAUGUGAAAGCCCACGGCUCAACCGUGGAGGGUCAUUGGAAACUGGAGAACUUGAGUACAGAAGAGGAAAGCGGAAUUCCACGUGUAGCGGUGAAAUGCGUAGAGAUGUGGAGGAACACCAGUGGCGAAGGCGGCUUUCUGGUCUGUAACUGACGCUGAGGCGCGAAAGCGUGGGGAGCAAACAGGGAUUAGAUACCCUGGUAGUCCACGCCGUAAACGAUGAGUGCUAAGUGUUAGGGGGGUUUCCGCCCCCUUAGUGCUGCAGCUAACGCGUUAAGCACUCCGCCUGGGGAUACGGCCGCAAGGCUG